ensembl:lncRNA
UGAGGACGCUCCGCCGAAGCUGCCACACAGAGGCAAGCCGGCGAUGGUGCGCCCAUCACGGUCACCAUCUCGGCACCGUUCAGGGCACCGGUCCCGGUCGAGCUCCGCCUCGGUGGACUCCCGGUUGCCCUCAGCGCAGAAAGCACCGCAGCAGUCGGGCUUCAACAAGCGGUCGGCACCGACUCAGCAACCAAGCACGAGUCGGCACCGCGAGGCGUCGGCAGUACGUUACCCGAGGCCGACCAGCCGUAGUCGUUCCCGGUCCCGCGAUCACCGGUACCGAUCCAGGUCCAGGUCGGCGAGACGCUGCUCCAGGUCCUGGUCGCGGAGGCGCUACUCCCCAAACCCGGACCGGCACCAUCCUACGGCUCCGCCGUGGCCUUCCAGGUCACCGUCCGUGGUCUCGGAGACUGACUCGGGCCGGUACGGCAGGUAUGCCCAUAGGGGGCAGGCUAGCAGGGACUACGAAGCCUGUAGCCAUCCCCAGUGGGGCCAACCGAGCCAAUGGCCAUUCUGGACACCCUGGGCCUACCACCAGCAAGGGCCCCCAUCUAGGACCUCGAGAUCCGGGCCAUCAGGGUACCGAUCCCGCUCCCCGCGGUACCGCCCGCCAUCGCAUAAGGAGGCAACGGUCUCUAGACCGCAGGAGCGGGAGGGAGUGGACUCGGCACCGAGCACGGUACCGUCCCAGUCCCAUACUGUGGGUCAGGCCCCAGAGGAGCAACCGGUCGAUGCCGGGUUGCAGGAAGAUGAGGAUGGGCAGAAGGCCCCGACCUCUUCCUCCUCGCCGGACGAGGCAGUAGCGGGCACGACGGUGUCUGGCCCUCCCCCGAUUGACCAUCGGGCGCACCAAGACCUGCUUCAUCAGGUAGCCCUCAAUCUGGGCUUGCAAGCGGAGGAGACUGUAGAACACGAGGACCCCACGGUCGAUAUCCUGAGCCCGGAGGGGCCCUCCAGAGUCGCUCUCCCGAUUAUACGGACAGUCCAGUCCAACUAUAAGACGGUGUGGCAAACGCCGGCCUCCAGUGCACCAACUGCAAGAGGCGUGGAGAGGAAAUACUUCGCCCCAUCUAGAGGAUUUGACUUCCUCUUUUUACACCCGUCUCCUUGUUCACUGGUGGUCUCGGCAGUCAACGAGCGAGAGCGUCAUGGCCAGCAAGCUCCUGCGCCCAAGGGCAAGGAAGCUAAGCGAUUAGACUUGUUCGGGAGGAAAGUCUAUUCAUCUGGGGGCCUUCAGCUGAGGAUCGCUAAUCAGCAGGCGAUUCUAAAUAGACACAAUUUUAACUCUUGGGCAUCAGUCUCCAAGUUUAAGGACUCCCUACCACCGGAUGCGCAUCCUGAGUUCACGGCCCUGGUGGACGAGGGGAUGGCGGUGGCCAAGACCUCAUUGCAGGCCUCCCUCGACUCAGCCGACGCAGCAGCUAGAACAAUCGCAUCAGGGGUAGUGAUGAGGCGUUCGGCAUGGUUACAGGCUUCAGGCCUUCCGCCAGAGGUGCAGACCACACCGCAGGACCUCCCGUUUGAAGGUUCGGGCUUGUUCUCCGACCAAACGGAUGCCAGGCUACAUAGCCUUAAGGACUCGCGAGCAACCCUUAAGUCGUUGGGUAUGCAUACCCCGGUGACACAGCGCAAGCCCUUUAAACCUCAGCCACCACAGAGGCAGUACCACCCUCGCCCUCAGCACGAACCGUACCGCCGUCGUGGCAGGGAUAACAGGCGGAGACGUAACAAUCCGCCUACCCAGGGCCAAGGUCACGGCCAGGGCAAGCCGCAGCCAGGGAACAAACCAGGCUUUUGAAGCUACGCCCGAGGACAGCGUACCACAUU